rnacentral:rRNA from 1 species
CAAUAGCGUAUAUUAAAGUUGUUGCAGUUAAAAAGCUCGUAGUUGGAUUUCUGGUGGGAGCGAUCGGUCUGGCGCUUAGCGCGAGUACUUGCAUCGUCUCCGGCCAUCCUUGGGGAAAGUCUGUCUGGCAUUAAGUUGUCGGGCAGAGGAUCCUCAUCGUUUACUGUGAAAAAAUUAGAGUGUUCAAAGCAGGCUUAUGCCGUUGAAUAUAUUAGCAUGGAAUAAUAAGAUAGGACUUUGGUACUAUUUUGUUGGUUUGCGCACCAAAGUAAUGAUUAAUAGGGACAGUUGGGGGUAUUCGUAUUCCGUUGUCAGAGGUGAAAUUCUUGGAUUCACGGAAGACGAACUACUGCGAAAGCAUUUACCAAGGAUGUUUUCAUUAA